rnacentral:tRNA from 1 species
GGGCCGUUAGCUCAAUUGGUAGAGCAGGAGACUCUUAAUCUCAAGGUUCUGGGUUCGAGUCCCAGGCGGCCCACCA